ensembl:lncRNA
AGAACGUCAUGUAAUGGGUUUCAGGAGAUGGAUGCAAAUGCAGUUAAAGCUUUUAUUUAAGAGAGGGACAGAUAAAAUCCAAAAACGUCAGGCAAAACCCGUGGUCACAAACAAUCAAGGAGUCAGCCGAUCGGCAAACGGGCAUUAACUGGGCGAGGACAAGAAUCGAGACAAGAGAACAGGAUCAAAACCAUGAAACAAAAAUCUGAGGAUCAAAGGCUUAGUACAGGCCUGGCAAGAAGACACAGAAACACUGUAACAAAUAACAAAGACACACGAAAAAGGUGUAAAGGUGUGAGCAGAGCUUGGGUGGCUCUGCCAUCAUCCUCAGACAGGAACAUGGCAUGGGAGGCCGUGUCGUCUGCCUCAGGCGUGAACAGUAUUUGGUAGGCCGUGUCCUCUGCCUCUAUCAGGAACAUGGCUGGAUAGACCACUUCAUUGGUCUCACACUGGAGCACAGGAAAUGAGGUCACUACGUUGACCUCCGGCUGGAGCUCGACAGGUAAGACUACCCCAUUGGUUUCAGGCUCAUUGCUAUAAAAUAAGAUUUUGUCGGCCGCAGAGAAUGGUUAAACUUGCUCAAUCUGGCAACAAGGCCUGAACUGUCCCUGACUUCUCUAUUAGAGCUUAUUGUAGUUCCCAAUGUUGACCACUAGGUGCAAGACUAACUGUAUGGCACUAAAUGGGACCAUGAGCACACCUCAUCUAGAAAAGUGCACAAAUCAACAGUGUGUCUGUGUGUGUGUGUGUGUGUGUGUGUGUGUGUGUGUGUGUGUGUGUGUGUGUGUGUGCGCGCGCGCGUGUGUUCGUAAACUAUAAACAUACCCCUCCUCUCUCAGUCAUCAGAAGUCCUUCACCUUCUUCACCACUGCACUCCAUGAGCUCUGCUCUCUUCGCCUUGCAAAACAAUUUGAUCUGUUCUGAAUAUUUAGGGUUCUCUCUGUACCGUCGUUCCAGUUCCUUCAUCGCCUCCUCUGCCUUCUGCAAAGCCUCUGUGGCACCGACAUGCCUUUUAUUGCCCUGCUCUUUCCCAGGUCGGGCCUGCUGUAUAAGCUUGUUCACAUGCUCCAGCUGCUUGCUCACCUAUUAAACAUACAUUAAAACACACACACACACACACACACACACACACCCCUUCUCAUCUUCGAGAAUCUCUGGGAUUUUUAUCCAAACCCUCCAUGUUAUAAACUGAACAGUAGUAAUUAAAUAACUCCAAGUUACGUAUACAGUGGUGUAAUGUUUUGGAAUGGCCAAGUCAGAGUCCUGACCUGAAACAAGCAGUUCAUGUGAGGAAACCCACCAACAUCCCAGAGUUGAAGCUGUUCUGUACUGAGGAAUGGGAUAAAAACCCCAGAGUCGAUGUGCAGGACUGAUCAACAGUUACCCCAAACGUUUAUCUGCAGUUAUUACUGCACAAGGGUCUCACACCACAUACUCACAGCAAAGGUGCACAUACUUUUACCCUUCACAAAUAUGCAAUAUUGGAUCAUUUUCCUCAAUAAAUAAAUUUCCAAGUAUAAUAUUAUUGUCUUGUUUGUUUAACUGUGUUCUCUUUAUCUACUUUUAGGACUUGUGUGAAAAUCUGAUGAUGUUUUAGAUCAUAUUUAUGCAGAAAUGUAGAAAAUUCUAAAGGGUUCACAAACUUUCAAGCACCACUGUAUAUAUACACUGUCUGAAUUGACAUGUUGAUAAAGAUUGCAUUAUAUGUUGGUACUAUAAAAGAGCUUUUGUGUUUUUUCCUCAUUAUAAAGACACUUUAGUAAGCGCUCACUCUUGUCUAUUGUCUCACACUGAAGAUAAAAGUAAGAAAUCCAUCCAUCCAUUAUCUAUAGCGAUUAUCCUACAGGGUCACAGGGAACCUGGAUCCUGUCCCAGGGAGCAUGGGGCCCAAGGCAGGGGAAACCCUGGACAGGGUGGCAUCCAUCGCAGGGCACAAUCACAUACACACUCGCACACUACGGACACUUUCAGACAUGCCAAUCAGCCUACCAUGCAUGUCUUUGGUCUGGGGAAGGAAACCGGAGUACCCGGAGGAAACCACCACAACACGGGGAGAACAUGCAAACUCCACACACACAGGGUUUCAGGGGAAACCCCCGACCCUGGAGGUGUGAGGCGACCGUGCUAACCACUAAUCCACCGCACACACAAAAGUUUAAAAUGCAGAACAAUAAAAUAUAGAUGAUGUUUAAGAAGACGUGUCAGACGUCCUGAACUAGUGGUGCAGUGGGAAAAAUAAAUAAAUAAAUACAAAACAAAACACUUUAUUUUAUAUACACACACACACCAACACACACACACAUUCAGCUGCUUGAUGCAGUCCUACUUACCUUGAUGAACUCCUGAUGGACUACAUUCUUCUGGUAUUUUAUACAUAGAAAGAGAAGAGUCACCAGCAGAAUCACCACCACCGUCACUAUGAGUCCAAUUAUCCACCGAGGAAACUUCUCAUCUACAAAGACACACACACACACACACAUUACACCUAUCCGUGACAUUUCCCCUGCAGACCGCCAGGUUGCACCCUCCCUGAGACACACUGAGACACACUGAGACGUACCUGUCACAGCGACGGAGUACACACGGAUGUCUUCUUUAUUCUCCGUGUCCCGGAUGGUGUAACGUCCACUAUCACUGUACGUCACGUCUCUCAGUGUGAGCUCUGGGUAACUGAGUGAUGUUCUGUGUGUGUAUUCAGCUUUACACUGUAGUGAGUGUUGAGUCCCGUUACAGAUCCGUUCACCAUCAGCUGAAUCACUGCUUGUAUAAAUCACCUCCACUGGCUCUGGUACGGUCAGAUCCAGGAUCAGAUCUUCACCAGGGUUCUUCUGAACUGCUGAGAACACGGCUGAGGAGAAAACACAUUCAGCUGUAUUUAGAUUGAAAAAGAAAUCAUUCAAGCUGCAUUCAGAGUCCAGAAAUUGCGUGGGGAAAGUUCACACUUCUGAGGUUGCCAGAUUUUUCUUUAGUAGAAGUUUCAGAGACAGGGUUUUAUAAAAGUGUGAAGACCAUCACCUUUAAAUACAACCAUCUUCAUACCUGAAAAAAAUCAGGGAUAGAAAAUGUGGACUGAAGAAGGAAAUUAUAUUUUUCUUUGCUGUAAAAUGUAAAUUGCCGUAUGUCCAAGAAGCAUCUCCUCCGAUGUCCACUGUGUGAAAAACCCUUUUGUGCAAAGUGAAAAUAUGAUAAGUUCAUUAAUACUGAUGUGUGUGAUUUCAGUACUAAACCCUGACUGUGUGAUUAACUCCACUCUGAAAAUGAUCCUAAUCAUUCAGACUGAAUGUUUUAUCCGCAGUAGAAGAGAUAAAGACACUCACUCUCAAUGCUGAGGCGCACAGUAGAGAUUUCUGAGACGCCACACUCACACGAGUACGUGUUCCUCAUUCUGUAAUCAGCUGCAGUGAUGAUGAGAGAGAGAUCUCCAUCCUGGUACUGAUCAUAAGACAUAUUAUAUCCCUUCACCAGUGAGCUGCAUGACGUAUCAUUACACCGAGCGAAGACAACAUCUCGAUUAUUAAAUAAAGACCAUUUGACUGAACCAGAACAUUUAUAUUCACAUGAGAGAGUCACAGGCUGAUGAAGCUUCACUGUUUUAGAACAGACCGCAGAUAAUACCGGAGCUGAAACAGAGAAGAAGCUGACAGUGAGAGUGUGCAGUGACAGUGAGAUGAGAGUGAGAGUGUAGAGUGAGAGUGUAGAGUGAGAGUGUAGAGUGAGAGUGUACAGUGAGAGUUGAGAGUGAGAGUGUACAGUGAGAGUGUAGAGAGUGUGCAGUGGUAGUAAAUGUGGUGAGAGAGUGAACGACACUUACCAGUGGUGAAUGUGAGGGUGAGUAAGAGCAGGACACAGUGGUGAACGCUGCAGGACUGCAUGGCUGAGGAGACACAACACCACCAUCAGUACUGCACAGGUGGAGAAUAAAGCAGGAGAGAGAAACACACUCACAGCUACAUUUUAUCAUUAAAGCUGCAGUUUACUGGAAUUUAUUUAAUCGUGAAGUAUUAAUGAGGAAUUCCACUGUGAUCAAUUAUAGUAAAAUAAUCAUUAAUUGGGUGGUGUGAUGAAGUGGAGUUACAGUUUCCACCCACAGCUGAUUAUUUCCCUGGUGAUUAUUAAAAUAACAGAAGCAGGACUGUGUUCCGUCUCAUUAAAACACUGCACCAGCUUCACAGUGUCUGUUAGUGCUGUGUCGGGGUGAGGGUUCACUUCGGCUGUGCUGUCCACCAAAACCGUCUGUGUUAAAUGAACAAACAGAGUGAUACUGAAGGGAGAGAUUUGAUCAUUUGAUUAGAUAAAAUAUUGACGGACUCCUUCCAAAAUUAACAAAUAAUACAGAAACUAUAGAAAACAGUUCACUUUGUGCAUUUUAAUGUAAUUUUAGGGAAUGUCUGGCUUCCUGUGUAGUCUUAAAGCAAUCACCUGUGAACAGCACAUCCCCAAAUGUUUUAUUCCCCAUCAAUUUACCAACAAACACAUUUCUUUAUUUAUUAAAGAACUGCACAUAAUAGACUGAAAAAACCUGAUUGAAUUUUUAUCAAUCAGACGUGUAGAUCAGUUCCACACGACUGAAUUCCUGCAGUGCGAUUGCAGCUCACAUCUUCUAACUGUGUUAAUUAUGGACCCAAGCACAGAAGAGACGUAGGUACAAUAGGUAGGUACAGUAGAGACGCGGUACAAAUAUCCUGACCAAACUGGGGCCUAGUGCUGCCACCACUCUAGCGCCACCAUUUUGUCAAAUUUGGCCCUAAUUUGGAAGUAUGUUUUUGAUAACUUGUUUUGCUUCAAUAAAAUAAAUAAAUAAAUGAAAACUGUAUUGUGUGUUUAUUCAGGUUGCCUUCGUUUUAUGUUGUAUUUCAUUUGAAGAUCUAAAACUAUUUAGUAUGAGAUAUACACAUAAAAAGAAGAAAUCAAGAAAUACUUUUCACAACACUAAGUGAUAUUUUUGCUCCUCCUGAAAAUACUGCCAGCUUUAAUUUAAUUCUAUAGUUAUACUUCAGUGCCAAUGUCCUCGUGAAAUUUCAUAAUAAUUGGUUUACAUUAAUAAUACUGUCACGCUUUGUAGGCGGAGACGGAAGCAAGUGCAGGUAGGCAGAUAUAACAGUAAUCCAAAGGGGUAAGGCGAAAUCUGUGGUCGGGCGAUCAGGCAAACAGACAAAACUAGGCAAGGCAGAAAAUCGAGGUCGAGAGCAAAAACAAUGGUCAAAAGUCACUUAGGCAAAACACGAGAAUAAGGCUCGAAUAACGGCAGAGAACAAGUCAACUGAACGUUUACUUCACAAAGUCGGAUUGUUUGACAAAGUCCUUAAAUACCGUGUGUGAGAUUGGUUGCAGGUGUGUAUAGUUAGUACUCCGGCGAAGGCGAGCGUGUGUUGGACACAUAGUCCUCAGCGGCCAUGUUUGAAGUUAGUGGUGUCUCCUGGGAAAUGGAGUGCCAGUUGGCUGUGAUACGACAAAUACGUGCAUCGAUCACGCUCACUUUACAUAAAUCAAUCUAGCAAUUAUAAACGUGUUUAAAUAAAGUUUUGUAUAAGCACUGAAAUAAUGUUUGAUAAGAAACUAAAUUCUUUCAUGCAAAGUAUAUGCAAUAUGUUCUCUUAAUUCUGAGUGACCACAUAUUCAGUGUACCUUUUAUCCAUUUAUAGUUACAUUUCAUUUUGGUGAAGUUAGUUCCUGUUGCGAUUUACGUUAUAGCAGCUAUAAACAGUCAUUCCCUCAUCAUCCCUCUCUUUAUUCUCUCUCUUUAUUCUGUGUCUUAAUUCUCUCUCUUCAAGUAAAUAAUAAAAAUGCAGCUUAUCAUGUUUUCAAGAAAUGCGCUGUGAAUGAGCUGUUACUAUAGAAACGAUCAUAUAUUAGAACGAGUGCAUUAAAAGAAACCUGCCGUUACAAAUCAUCAUUAUUCAGUAUAUUCAGUAUCUCAGUGUAAUGACUGAAAAUAAGACAGGUCGGGGAUUUCUCACAUUUACAUCAAGCAACAAAAAUCAAUAAUAACGGUGAAAUUAGGUGAAUUGUGUGCUUUAUCGAGGUUUGAUCAGCAUCAAAACGAUCGAAGUUACAGCGAGUGAUUGGGGUUAGUCGUGCACUCUUUGGUCAUCUUAUUUUUGUGCUAGUAACAGAAAAAAGUAAAACACGAACGGUUUAUAAAUAAUAAAUAACUUCAAAUCCAGACAGGAAAAGCAAAAAACAUGUCACUUGGAGUUAGUUGUUUGGGAAAUGAUGGCACAAUGCCAGCUUUCACUUUCACUUCCUCUCUAUUCUCUCUUCUCUCUCUCAGUUAAAGUCAUGAACUCAGUACAGCCGAACUUUAUUUUUUAGUUUUAGACCUUAAACCUCAGCUGAGCAGUUGAUAAAAGUUUAAAACACCACAGAACAGACCUGAUUCAGAUCUAUUCUCACUCCAGAUAUUUAAACCCAUUACAGUAAUCAAUGUCCAUCAAACAUGUGUUUACUAGCUUAUGAAACAAACACUUCACACUUCAUUCAGUACUCACCUGGACGAUAAACUAUAACCACUUGCUCUGAUGAACAGAAACAAAGCCGGAAGUGCAGAAUAAAAGCACUAGGACACGAUUCAGAACACAAACUGAACACAAACUGAACACAAACUGAACACAAACUGAACACAAACUGAACAAGCUAAAUGAAUCCCAGACUCCGAGUAUAAGGAGAAUCUGUUUCAGUCUGGAGACAGGACAGUUCUACCUGAGAAACUCUGCUCACGUUCCGAAUGCAGUGUUUAGAUAUUGGACCACACCUUAGAGCUCGUGACAGGGGCGGGG